CGCCUCUUGAAUUUUAUAAGAGGUCCAGCCUGCCCAGUGACUCUGUUCAACGGCCGCGGUAUCCUAACCGUGCGAAGGUAGCGUAAUCACUUGUUCUUUAAAUGUGGACUAGUAUGAAUGGCACCACGAAGGUUAUACUGUCUCCUCUUUCUAAUCAGUGAAACUAAUCUCCCCGUGAAGAAGCGGGGAUAAAACUAUAAGACGAGAAGACCCUAUGGAGCUUUAAACAACAUAGCACUUGCCACAUACCAUUAAAAUUUCAGAAUCUUUAAUUCUCUGAGCAACAUGACUAUAAGUUUUUGGUUGGGGUGACCGCGGAGCAUAACACAACCUCCAUGUUGAAAGAACCAUUUUCUAAGCUAAGAACUACAACUCUAAGCAUCAACAUAUUGACAUCCAUUGACCCAAUACACUUGAACAACGAACCAAGUUACCCUAGGGAUAACAGCGCAAUCCACUUCAAGAGCUCCUAUCGACAAGUGGGUUUACGACCUCGAUGUUGGAUCAGGGUUUCCCAGUGGUGCAGCCGCUACUAAAGGUUCGUUUGUUCAACGAUUAAAACCCUACG
rnacentral:rRNA from 1 species